AAAUUGAAGAGUUUGAUCAUGGCUCAGAUUGAACGCUGGCGGCAGGCCUAACACAUGCAAGUCGAACGGUAACAGGAAGCAGCUUGCUGCUUUGCUGACGAGUGGCGGACGGGUGAGUAAUGUCUGGGAAACUGCCUGAUGGAGGGGGAUAACUACUGGAAACGGUAGCUAAUACCGCAUAACGUCGCAAGACCAAAGAGGGGGACCUUCGGGCCUCUUGCCAUCGGAUGUGCCCAGAUGGGAUUAGCUUGUUGGUGGGGUAACGGCUCACCAAGGCGACGAUCCCUAGCUGGUCUGAGAGGAUGACCAGCCACACUGGAACUGAGACACGGUCCAGACUCCUACGGGAGGCAGCAGUGGGGAAUAUUGCACAAUGGGCGCAAGCCUGAUGCAGCCAUGCCGCGUGUAUGAAGAAGGCCUUCGGGUUGUAAAGUACUUUCAGCGGGGAGGAAGGGAGUAAAGUUAAUACCUUUGCUCAUUGACGUUACCCGCAGAAGAAGCACCGGCUAACUCCGUGCCAGCAGCCGCGGUAAUACGGAGGGUGCAAGCGUUAAUCGGAAUUACUGGGCGUAAAGCGCACGCAGGCGGUUUGUUAAGUCAGAUGUGAAAUCCCCGGGCUCAACCUGGGAACUGCAUCUGAUACUGGCAAGCUUGAGUCUCGUAGAGGGGGGUAGAAUUCCAGGUGUAGCGGUGAAAUGCGUAGAGAUCUGGAGGAAUACCGGUGGCGAAGGCGGCCCCCUGGACGAAGACUGACGCUCAGGUGCGAAAGCGUGGGGAGCAAACAGGAUUAGAUACCCUGGUAGUCCACGCCGUAAACGAUGUCGACUUGGAGGUUGUGCCCUUGAGGCGUGGCUUCCGGAGCUAACGCGUUAAGUCGACCGCCUGGGGAGUACGGCCGCAAGGUUAAAACUCAAAUGAAUUGACGGGGGCCCGCACAAGCGGUGGAGCAUGUGGUUUAAUUCGAUGCAACGCGAAGAACCUUACCUGGUCUUGACAUCCACAGAACUUUCCAGAGAUGGAUUGGUGCCUUCGGGAACUGUGAGACAGGUGCUGCAUGGCUGUCGUCAGCUCGUGU
rnacentral:rRNA from 1 species